rnacentral:rRNA from 1 species
AUGCCGAAGCAUAUGCCGAAGGAAGGCGUCGCCGGCGACGGCUCCAAGACCGCCGAGCAUAGCUCGGCUGAGGACACCCGUGCGGCGGAUGCGCUCGCGCUGCGAGGCAGGCCGGGAGGUGAGCUGGGUGCGCCACGCUCCGUGCGAGACGUGGGCAUGUCCAGCACCUCCUUACCUCUCCUCAUGCGGACCAACUACCCCAGUUGGUCGGUCAUGAUGAAAGUCAUCAUGGAGGCGCGGCAUAUGUGGAAAGCCGUGGAAACCGGCGAUGUCGAGUACAAGGAGGACCGGCUGGCGAUGGAGGCAAUCUUGCGCUCCGUCCCAGAGGAGAUGGUGCUCACCCUUGGCGCCAAGGAGACGGCCAAGGAAGCCUGGGACACCAUCAAGACUCUGCGCAUCGGCGUGGAGCGCAUACGGGAGUCGAAGGCCCAGACCUUGCGCCUCCAGUACGAGGAGAUCCGGUUCAAGGCCGGUGAACAAGUCGACGACUUCGCCUUGCGGCUGCAAGGUCUCGUCAACGAGCUCACAACGCUCGGAGAUCCCAUCGACAACAAGAUGGUAAUUCUCAAUUUCCUCCGCGUCGUCCCCAGGCAGUACAAGCAACUGGCCUGGUCCAUCGAGAGUUUGGUGGAUCUCUCCACCAUGACGAUCGAGGAGCUGGUAGGGCGGCUGAAGGUCGUCGAGGAGCGCGGCGACGAAGCCGACAACCAUGCUGGCAGUGAACUACUGCUCACCAGGGAGCAGUGGGACGCGCAGCUUCAGUGGCGCGGCCGCGACGGCUCUUCCGGCAGUGGGGAGGCACCCCCACGGGAAGCAGAGGUCGCGGCAGAGGCGGAGGCCGCGCCCAGAGCGGCGGCGGCAACCGCGGUCGCAAGCCAAGCCAGGCAGGGCGAGGCGCUGGCAAUGGUGGCAAGUGCUGCUACUGCAACAUGCCGGGUCAUUGGAUCCGGGAUUGCCACAGGAGGAAAGCCGACGAGGCAGCCGCGGCAACCACAAACCUCGUCCAAGCUGACGUGGACGGCGGGCCGGCAAUGA